GUCUGUGGUCGCCUAGUGAUACGUCACAACGCUGCGUCAUACACGUCUCCUCCUCACGUGGGCAUUUCAUCAUCUCACAGCAUCAGGAGAGGAAGGGCUGAUAAAAUGGAUGAGAAUUUCAAGACAUGCUUCCGUUUCCCGUUUAACUGCCUUCCUUCUGCCCACACCAGCACCCCAGUAUAAGAACCCAGUAUCCACUGGACCCCCAGCAGGGCAGAUUCCUGGCCCUCUUCAAAGGCUGUGAGAUGAGCCCGUCGCAGACGCUGCAACCAGACAGCUGCUGCCCCGCAGGAGCCUUGGGCAACGCCAGGGAACCGAGAUAGUCCACUCACCACAGGAAACUGUAGCAAACAAGCAAAUGAAAGAAGCUGCUUGCCUGAGUAAGAUCAUCCUAAAAGAGAAAGCAACACAUGCGUAACUCUGCUGGAGCUAGAGCAUAAUUAACACGAAUCUUAAUUUAAGGUGAGAUAGGUUUUCUUAUCAAUGUCUGGAUGGCAAAUCUAAGCACAUAAUUGCAUAAAGUACAGCACAGAGAACAAGAGUUCAGUGGUACAUUUUACCCUGGGACCUUGACACAAGAUACAAAUGGAGACCUCUACAUUUCUAUUGUGUUUAUUGUUUAGGUUCCACCCAGGUGGUUAGUAAUCGCAGAAAAGGAACACGUAGAGGUGGAUUAAACAUUUGUGAAACUUCUUGAUCGGAGCAAAAAGAAAAUUAUUGUAAAUAAUGGUAAUGAUAUCAGUCCAGAAUCCCUAAGUAAAGAAAUGCUCUCAAAAUAAUCAAGUGCAUUUAAAAAUUUUACAUCGGUCUCUAUUUUCUUUGGUUGUAAAGUAUCUUACACAUAAAGAUUUACACCUAUAAGAAUAUCAGUUCCUCCUAUAAUCUCUAAAUAUGCAGGAAAUGAGAACAUAAACUAAUAGCUUCUUCACAAAGUAAAAGUCAUGCUUAGUAAAACAAUUACUCUUCAGAAGCAAUCAUAGUAAUAAAAAUUCUCUACCUGAAAGCACAAUUACUUCCGUGGCUCUGGAGGUGAGGGUGUCUCUCGCCACUUAAAAAUGGAUGGUCUUCAGGCUUUCCUAAUGUGGCACUGCGGGCAGUGUUUGCUUGGCUCCAAUAUUGACUUUGGUUUUCUGCCAAUGGUUUUAACUUUUUGUCCUGUCAACAUAUUCUAUGAACAUCCCAUUUCUGUGUUCAGCCAUUUAAUACAUGAACUGUUUCCUGUUAGGGCCACACAACUCACGCACAGGUUUUCAUUUAUAACAUUCCCAGUUACUUGGGGUCAUGCAGCUUAAAUCUCAUCUAACUGGACUUUUUCCAUCACAGUGACCUGGAUGCACAGCUGAAAAAAGGGUGCAUAUGGAUAACUCACCCUGGAAAAAUCUUCUGGCAAAUGAUGUCUAUGCCUUCCCCUACCCUAGUCAAAGAAGCAUGUAACACUGAAGUUUUAAGUAUGGCAGGGAAUGGGUCAAUGUUUAGGUCCUUCUCCAACCCAAAUCAGGAAAGGAGAUAUAGAGGUGUUGAUCAACACAGUGCAAAUCUGGCCCAGCACCUGUUUUGUGAAUAAAGUUUUAUUGGCACACAGCCACACCCAUUCAUUCAUGUAUUGUUUAUGCUUGCUUUCACCCCACCACUACAGAGUUAAGCAGUUGAGACAAAGAUGGUGUGACCUGCAAAGGUGAAAAGAUUUGCUCUUUGGCCCUUUUCAGAUAAGUAAUCUGAAACCUGCUGUACAGCACUCCUGGCAUAGAGUUUAGAAUUCCUUAUCACACUCCCUCAACUGGGAAAAAAAAAGUGGACUGUUUUCCCAGGAGUCUGUUCCCACUCAGGGAGUUCUAUUUCAUUUUUAUUUUUAGGAAAAGCCGCCUUAUGUACUGAAAUACACCUCCUUGUAACUUCUAUCCUUCAGUCCUAGAUUUCCCUACCAGAGCCACACAAAAAUAGUUUCUUCUUUUUUUUGCCUUUUAAAAUAUUUAGAGACCAUGAUCACUUGCCCACUAAAAUAUUCUUUGUUUUCUAACUGUUCUUCAAAAUUAUGGUAUAUCAUUCUGGCUAGUAAAUUAGAUUUUUAGGGAGUUGAUUCUUAAAUAAAUAUUUUAUGCAUAUUACUGCAAGGCAGAACUGUGUUCUAUUAAAAAUGUAGGAUAAUGUUGCCAGUAAAAUCUUCUGGCUCUAACAGAGUAUCGUACUUCAAAUCUGCAUGCUUUCCUGCCUUUUAGGUUCAGGGCAUGGACUGGUACACCAGCAGUCAACAAGAAUCCUCUCGCCCUGUGCAGUAUAAAAGUAUUCAAAUUUGGGAUCCCGUCUGCUCCCAGCCUCAACAGGAUAAAAGGAGCAAAGAAGAAUGCUGGCAGCCUUCAGACUGGCUAAAAUAUUAGGGGAUGGCAUUUUGUGUCCUUAAAAAUGUGGCAACAGCUCUACAACUGAAACAGGAUUGAAUAGAAUGGCAGUCUGACGAAGUGAGGCCGGAGAAGCAGAUGAGGAGAGACAGAGACCAGGGGAAAAGCAUCUACCUGAGAGAAAUCAAUGUUAUUAAGAAACAUCUAAUACAUGUACUUAGAAUUCACUGUUCAAAGAGAGCGUGUUCUUGCGUCAUCAUGAGUCUGCCAUGGCCCCUGAGCCUUGCUACAGAGAGCGGAGAC